AUGAACGCUAGCGACAGGCCUAACACAUGCAAGUCGAGGGGCAGCACAAGGAGCAAUCUGAGGUGGCGACCGGCGCACGGGUGAGUAACACGUAUGCAACCUGCCUGUAAGCGGGGAAUAACCCGUUGAAAGACGGACUAAUACCGCAUAAUACUAAAUUACUGCAUGGUAAUUUAUUUAAACAUUUAUGGCUUACAGAUGGGCAUGCGCAUGAUUAGCUAGUUGGAGAGGUAACGGCUCCCCAAGGCAACGAUCAUUAGGGGUUCUGAGAGGAAGGUCCCCACACUGGUACUGAGACACGGACCAGACUCCUACGGGAGGCAGCAGUGAGGAAUAUUGGUCAAUGGACGAGAGUCUGAACCAGCCAAGUCGCGUGCAGGAAGAAUGUCCUAAUGGAUUGUAAACUGCUUUUGCAGGGGAAUAAAGUGCAUCACGUGUGAUGUUUUGUAUGUACUCUGCGAAUAAGGAUCGGCUAACUCCGUGCCAGCCGCAGC
rnacentral:rRNA from 1 species